rnacentral:rRNA from 1 species
UACCGAGUUUACAACUCCCAAACCCCUGUGAACAUACCAUUUGUUGCCUCGGCGGUGCCUGCUUCGGCAGCCCGCCAGAGGACCCAAACCCUUGAUUUUAUACAGUAUCUUCUGAGUAAAUGAUUAAAUAAAUCAAAACUUUCAACAACGGAUCUCUUGGUUCUGGCAUCGAUGAAGAACGCAGCGAAAUGCGAUAAGUAAUGUGAAUUGCAGAAUUCAGUGAAUCAUCGAAUCUUUGAACGCACAUUGCGCCCGCCAGUAUUCUGGCGGGCAUGCCUGUUCGAGCGUCAUUUCAACCCUCAAGCCCCCGGGCUUGGUGUUGGAGAUCGGCGUGCCCCCCGGGGCGCGCCGGCUCCCAAAUAUAGUGGCGGUCUCGCUGUAGCUUCCUCUGCGUAGUAGCACACCUCGCACUGGAAAACAGCGUGGCCACGCCGUUAAACCCCCCACUUCUGAAAGGUUGACCUCGGAUCAGGUAGGAAUACCCGCUGAACUUAAGCAUAUCAAUAAGCGGA